rnacentral:rRNA from 1 species
GAGUUUGACAUGGUCAGGACGAACGCUGGCGGCGUGCCUAAUACAUGCAAGUCGAGCGAGCGGAACUAACAGAUUUACUUCGGUAAUGACGUUAGGAAAGCGAGCGACGGAUGGGUGAGUAACACGUGGGGAACCUGCCCCAUAGUCUGGGAUACCACUUGGAAACAGGUGCUAAUACCGGAUAAGAAAGCAGAUCGCAUGAUCAGCUUUUAAAAGGCGGCGUAAGCUGUCGCUAUGGGAUGGCCCCGCGGUGCAUUAGCUAGUUGGUAAGGUAAAGGCUUACCAAGGCGAUGAUGCAUAGCCGAGUUGAGAGGAUGACCAGCCACACUGGAAC